rnacentral:rRNA from 1 species
GACGAACGCUGGCGGCGUGCUUAACACAUGCCAGUCGAACGAAGAGCGAUGGAAGCUUGCUUCUAUCAAUCUUAGUGGCGAACGGGUGAGUAACGCGUAAUCAACCUGCCCUUCAGAGGGGGACAACAGUUGGAAACGACUGCUAAUACCGCAUACGAUCUAAUCUCGGCAUCGAGGAUAGAUGAAAGGUGGCCUCUACAUGUAAGCUAUCACUGAAGGAGGGGAUUGCGUCUGAUUAGCUAGUUGGAGGGGUAACGGCCCACCAAGGCGAUGAUCAGUAGCCGGUCUGAGAGGAUGAACGGCCACAUUGGGACUGAGACACGGCCCAGACUCCUACGGGAGGCAGCAGUGGGGAAUCUUCCGCAAUGGACGAAAGUCUGACGGAGCAACGCCGCGUGAGUGAUGACGGCCUUCGGGUUGUAAAGCUCUGUUAAUCGGGACGAAAGGCCUUCUUGCGAACAGUUAGAAGGAUUGACGGUACCGGAAUAGAAAGCCACGGCUAACUACGUG